rnacentral:rRNA from 1 species
AGAGUUUGAUCCUGGCUCAGAUUGAACGCUGGCGGCAUGCCUUACACAUGCAAGUCGAACGGUAACGCGGGGGCAACCCUGGCGACGAGUGGCGAACGGGUGAGUAAUACAUCGGAACAUAUCCAGUAGCGGGGGAUAACCUAUCGAAAGAUGGACUAAUACCGCAUACGAUCUACGGAUGAAAGCAGGGGACCGCAAGGCCUUGCACUAUUGGAGUGGCCGAUGUCGGAUUAGCUAGUUGGUGGGGUAAAGGCUUACCAAGGCGACGAUCCGUAGCUGGUCUGAGAGGACGAUCAGCCACACUGGAACUGAGACACGGUCCAGACUCCUACGGGAGGCAGCAGUGGGGAAUUUUGGACAAUGGGCGCAAGCCUGAUCCAGCCAUGCCGCGUGAGUGAAGAAGGCCUUCGGGUUGUAAAGCUCUUUCGGUGAAGACGAAACGGUUAGCGCUAAUAACGCUGACUAAUGACGGUACUCACAGAAGAAGCACCGGCUAACUACGUGCCAGCAGCCGCGGUAAUACGUAGGGUGCAGGCGUUAAUCGGAAUUACUGGGCGUAAAGCGUGCGCAGGCGGUUUGCUAAGACAGGUGUGAAAUCCCCGGGCUUAACCUGGGAAUUGCGCUUGUAACUGGCAAGCUAGAGUGUGGCAGAGGGGGGUGGAAUUCCACGUGUAGCAGUGAAAUGCGUAGAUAUGUGGAGGAACACCGAUGGCGAAGGCAGCCCCCUGGGUUAACACUGACGCUCAUGCACGAAAGCGUGGGGAGCAAACAGGAUUAGAUACCCUGGUAGUCCACGCCCUAAACUAUGUCAACUAGUUGUCGGGGAAGAAAUUCCUUGGUAACGAAGCUAACGCGUGAAGUUGACCGCCUGGGGAGUACGGCCGCAAGGUUAAAACUCAAAGGAAUUGACGGGGACCCGCACAAGCGGUGGAUUAUGUGGAUUAAUUCGAUGCAACGCGAAAAACCUUACCUACCCUUGACAUGCUAGGAAGCCCGCAGAGAUGUGGGUGUGCCCGAAAGGGAACCUAGACACAGGUGCUGCAUGGCUGUCGUCAGCUCGUGUCGUGAGAUGUUGGGUUAAGUCCCGCAACGAGCGCAACCCUUGCCAUUAGUUGCUACAUUCAGUUGGGCACUCUAAUGGGACCGCCGGUGACAAACCGGAGGAAGGUGGGGAUGACGUCAAGUCCUCAUGGCCCUUAUGGGUAGGGCUUCACACGUAAUACAAUGGUCGGUACAGGGGCUGCCAACCCGCAAGGGGGAGCUAAUCCCAGAAAGCCGAUCGUAGUCCGGAUUGUAGUCUGCAACUCGACUGCAUGAAGCCGGAAUCGCUAGUAAUCGCGGAUCAGCAUGUCGCGGUGAAUACGUUCCCGGGUCUUGUACACACCGCCCGUCACACCAUGGGAGUGGGUUCCACCAGAAGUAGUUAGCCUAACCGCAAGGAGGGCGAUUACCACGGUGAGAUUCAUGACUGGGGUGAAGUCGUAACAAGGUA